GAUGAACGCUGGCGGCGUGCCUAAUACAUGCAAGUCGAGCGAACAGACGAGGAGCUUGCUCCUCUGACGUUAGCGGCGGACGGGUGAGUAACACGUGGAUAACCUACCUAUAAGACUGGGAUAACUUCGGGAAACCGGAGCUAAUACCGGAUAACAUGUUGAACCGCAUGGUUCAACAGUGAAAGACGGUCUUGCUGUCACUUAUAGAUGGAUCCGCGCCGCAUUAGCUAGUUGGUAAGGUAACGGCUUACCAAGGCAACGAUGCGUAGCCGACCUGAGAGGGUGAUCGGCCACACUGGAACUGAGACACGGUCCAGUCUCCUACGGGAGGCAGCAGUAGGGAAUCUUCCGCAAUGGGCGAAAGCCUGACGGAGCAACGCCGCGUGAGUGAUGAAGGUCUUCGGAUCGUAAAACUCUGUUAUUAGGGAAGAACAAAUGUGUAAGUAACUAUGCACGUCUUGACGGUACCUAAUCAGAAAGCCACGGCUAACUACGUG
rnacentral:rRNA from 1 species